UUUCCUCCUGGACAGCUGGCAUUGGCGGCUUUGCGUCAUGCUAAUGAGGUGCAUAGAGUUCUGGACUAUGAAAGAUACCUAGAGAACAUGCUCAUAUGCCAAAAUUCCAUUCACAGCAGCACAGAGCUCAUUCAGCAUCUGAAUGCGAUAGAUUCCUCGGUUAGGACAUAUAAAUUCCCUUCUGAGAAAGAUAUGAAACACAUCAACAGGAAGCUGAGGUCUUGCUGGGGCCUUAGUUCACAUGAUGAGUAAUUCCUUCAAACCCCUGUCCUCUGAUUUCUUUUAUUCUUGAUAACAAUUGGCAUGUGAAACCU